GACGAACGCUGGCGGCGUGCUUAACACAUGCAAGUCGAACGGAAAGGCCCUGCUUUUGUGGGGUGCUCGAGUGGCGAACGGGUGAGUAACACGUGAGUAACCUGCCCUUGACUUUGGGAUAACUUCAGGAAACUGGGGCUAAUACCGGAUAGGAGCUCCUGCUGCAUGGUGGGGGUUGGAAAGUUUCGGCGGUUGGGGAUGGACUCGCGGCUUAUCAGCUUGUUGGUGGGGUAGUGGCUUACCAAGGCUUUGACGGGUAGCCGGCCUGAGAGGGUGACCGGCGACAUUGGGACUGAGAUACGGCCCAGACUCCUACGGGAGGCAGCAGUGGGGAAUAUUGCACAAUGGGCGGAAGCCUGAUGCAGCAACGCCGCGGGUGGGAUGACGGCCUUCGGGUUGUAAACCGCUUUCGCCUGUGACGAAGCGUGAGUGACGGUAAUGGGUAAAGAAGCACCGGCUAACUACGUG
rnacentral:rRNA from 1 species